GAUGAACGCUAGCGGCAGGCCUAACACAUGCAAGUCGAGGGGUAGAACACUUCGGUGUUUGAGACCGGCGCACGGGUGCGUAACGCGUAUGCAAUCUACCUUGUACAGGGGAAUAGCCCAGAGAAAUUUGGAUUAAUGCCCCAUAGUAUAUAACCUUCGCAUGUUGGUUAUAUUAAAGUUCCAACGGUACAAGAUGAGCAUGCGUCCCAUUAGUUAGUUGGUAAGGUAACGGCUUACCAAGACGAUGAUGGGUAGGGGUCCUGAGAGGGAGAUCCCCCACACUGGUACUGAGACACGGACCAGACUCCUACGGGAGGCAGCAGUGAGGAAUAUUGGUCAAUGGACGCAAGUCUGAACCAGCCAUGCCGCAUGAAGGAUGAAGGUCCUCUGGAUUGUAAACUUCUUUUAUAGGGGAAGAAAUCUGAAUAUUCCUAUUCAGUUGACGGUACCCUAGGAAUAAGCACCGGCUAACUCCGUGCCAGCAGCCGCGGUAAUAC
rnacentral:rRNA from 1 species